AUCCCAAAUAAGCUGAGCUGAAAAACAGCGGUGCUUGUUUGAUUCAUGGGAGGCCAAAAUCAAAGUCUGGGGGUUUCGCUGAUGAUGCCUUUUUCUAUCUCUUAUGGAAGGCGUUUAUUAGUAACUUCGCCAUACAUUC
rnacentral:snoRNA from 1 species